rnacentral:piRNA from 1 species
AAUCGAGAGGAUGACUGUGAAGAA